rnacentral:lncRNA from 1 species
AGACAUCCAAAUGCACUACUUUGUAGGUGCAACACUAUGGCGAUUGGUAGUGUUAAUAGAUCUAAAAUCACAUGAAGGUUAUCACAAAAAAAGAUCUAUGAUCUCUAAAAAUCAAUGUAGGAUAAAACAAAAGAUCUAUCCAGGAUAGACAUCCAAAUGCACUACUUUGUAGGUGCAACACUAUGGCGAUUGCAAGUGUUUAUAGCUCUAAAUAAAAUCAUAAGAAGGUUAUCUCAAAAGAUCUAUGAUCUCUAAAAAUCAAUGCAGAAUAAAACAAAGGAUCCAUCCAGACGAUCAACUAUGUGAUUUAAGGAUUAACCAUUGUUUCUACACCUACA